UUCGCCCUUAGUUUGAUCAUGGCUCAGGAUGAACGCUGACAGAAUGCUUAACACAUGCAAGUCGACUCGAGUCUUCGGACUUGGGUGGCGCACGGGUGAGUAACGCGUAAAGAACUUGCCUCUUAGACCGGGACAACAUCUGGAAACGGAUGCUAAUACCGGAUAUUAUGGUUUUUUCGCAUGGAGGAAUCAUGAAAGCUAGAUGCGCUAAGAGAGAGCUUUGCGUCCCAUUAGCUAGUUGGUGAGGUAACGGCCCACCAAGGCAAUGAUGGGUAGCCGGCCUGAGAGGGUGAACGGCCACAAGGGGACUGAGACACGGCCCUUACUCCUACGGGAGGCAGCAGUGGGGAAUAUUGGACAAUGGACCACAAGUCUGAUCCAGCAAUUCUGUGUGCACGAUGACGUUUUUCGGAAUGUAAAGUGCUUUCAGUCGGGAAGAAGUCAGUGACGGUACCGACAGAAGAAGCGACGGCUAAAUACGUGCCAGCAGCCGCGGUAAUACGUAUGUCGCAAGCGUUAUCCGGAUUUAUUGGGCGUAAAGCGCGUCUAGGCGGCAAGGAAAGUCUGAUGUGAAAAUGCGGAGCUCAACUCCGUAUGGCGUUGGAAACUGCCUUACUAGAGUACUGGAGAGGUAGGCGGAACUACAAGUGUAGAGGUGAAAUUCGUAGAUAUUUGUAGGAAUGCCGAUGGGGAAGCCAGCCUACUGGACAGAUACUGACGCUAAAGCGCGAAAGCGUGGGUAGCAAACAGGAUUAGAUACCCUGGUAGUCCACGCUGUAAACGAUGAUUACUAGGUGUUGGGGGUCAAACCUCAGCGCCCAAGCUAACGCGAUAAGUAAUCCGCCUGGGGAGUACGUACGCAAGUAUGAAACUCAAAGGAAUUGACGGAAGGGCGAA
rnacentral:rRNA from 1 species